UUUCAGUGGAAAAAGCAGUGCCCUUAAAGUCCACUGAAAUUCUCCACCUGGCCCCAUGCCAGAGUUUUAGGUUCUGACAGGUUAGGAGGAGCUAGCACUGCUACACACACACUUCUGAGGACAUGAAAAAAUCAUCUGCUCAAGAUCAUUUGUGCUCACUUUUCAAGUCUGCGGCUAUAAUGUUUGGAAAUUAUAGAGCCCAAGAAAUUACCUUUUCCUGUUUUCAUUUUCCAUCACAGGCAACAAAAUCACAUGCAUUGCUUUUUCCACAGUCUGCAGUAAGAAUUGGCAUCUUGGUCAACUGGCCCUGGCAUUUGAGAUUGCUGCUUUCCUCCUCCUGUGGGGACAAUUUUCCUCCCUCUGUAAUUCAGCUCACUGACGUGCACCCUGAAACAAGGGGCACUUAGUGGGCCCAGGGCAGGGGAAACCGAGAACCCAGCUUGUUAUCCAAACACAGGUUGGAAAUGAACCUCCCCAAGAGCAGAUCUGCCAGGAGCAGAACAGGGAACCUGAACCCCCGCGGGACGGCAUUUGGCACCAGUGAAAAGCAGGAAAAAACGAGCCAACAAAAUGAAAGCAGUUCUCCAUACAUACUCUUCUUAGGGGGAAGGCAAAUAUGCUGAAAUCAAAGAAAUAAUUGCGCACCUCUGAGUUCCGAGUCAGACUUUUGAGAGCGUUGGGCAGAGACAACAUCCUGAAAACAAAGCUUUUUUGCUGCAGCAGGCAGGGGUUUGAGAGAGAAAAUGUUGAACUCCUAAGGGACUAGCAUCCUGGUAGGCUUCAGCAGAGUUUAUACCAUGAACUAAAGAACAGGGGAAAUGUAGGAUGCCACAAAAACAUUUUUCUCUACUUGGAAAAAAAAAAAAAAGAUGAAUUCAGUGAUUGUGGGAAGAAGGAUCAGCGGGGCUAUAGCCAAUGUUUAUGCCCCUAAGACAUGCCCUGCACAAUGGUCCCCUCCAUGGAUCAAAAACCUUAGACAGAGGGGAGACAGAAACUUCAGAUAACCCAAGAAGGUCUCCAGAGGCAAACAGACCAUUGCCUGGCUUCCCAAGGACUAGCAAAGGAGAAUCCAAGUCUUACGAAGAAGCCUCAUGUCCAGUGUGGCCCCAGAGGGGCAGCCUAACAACGGCUGAGGGAAUUUCCUGGUCAGGCAACCCUCAGAGCAGCCUCAUAGAACCAUAAGCAGAAGGUUCCUGUGCGCCCCUAGAGGAACAGGAAAGUGACUGAGCACGAGCCACAGUCCCAAAGGAGCCAGGGUUUGGGACAAGGAGCAGGAGUGUACGAUCCUCACAGACAUGAUAGGAAACCAUGAGGACUAGAAAAGACAAACCUUCUCAGGAGAAUGCAGCAAGGACAGAGGCCAGCAUCCACCUCUCCCUCCAGAAUGGUAUAUAAAUAAGCCAAGCCACAGAAACUUAGCUCACCCCCAGGAAUGAGGGGUGAAGGAGGGGAGGGGAGGAAAUUUGCAUUAAUUGAGUUUAAAACUGUAUUAACUACACUGAAAUGCAGAAGUGAUUGAGUUACCUUGAGUUGACAAAUUACAUUUUCUGUUCUCUGUGGAAAUUGGGAUGUCAUGACUUCAGAGGAAAUGUACAUAUAUGGAAAGCUGAAUGUACUAAUUAUAAAAUUUGAACUUGCCA
rnacentral:lncRNA from 1 species